rnacentral:miRNA from 1 species
UUGCGACAUACUUAUACUAAA